UACGGGGGGGGCAAGCGUUGUUCGGAAUUACUGGGCGUAAAGGGCUCGUAGGCGGCCAACUAAGUCGGACGUGAAAUCCCUCGGCUUAACCGGGGAACUGCGUCCGAUACUGGAUGGCUUGAGUUCGGGAGAGGGAUGCGGAAUUCCAGGUGUAGCGGUGGAAUGCGUAGAGAUCCGGAAGAACACCGGUGGCGAAGGCGGUUAGCUGGGCAGUUGCUGACACUGAGGCGCGACAGCGUGGGGAGCAAACAGG
rnacentral:rRNA from 1 species